CAGCCGCCGCGGUAAUACGUAGGGUGCAAGCGUUAAUCGGAAUUACUGGGCGUAAAGCGUGCGCAGGCGGUUAUAUAAGUCAGAUGUGAAAUCCCCGGGCUCAACCUGGGAACUGCAUUUGAGACUGUAUAGCUAGAGUACGGUAGAGGGGGAUGGAAUUCCGCGUGUAGCAGUGAAAUGCGUAGAUAUGCGGAGGAACACCGAUGGCGAAGGCAAUCCCCUGGACCUGUACUGACGCUCAUGCACGAAAGCGUGGGGAGCAAACAGGACUAGAUACCCUGGUAGUCCACGCCCUAAACGAUGUCAACUGGUUGUUGGGUCUUAACUGACUCAGUAACGAAGCUAACGCGUGAAGUUGACCGCCUGGGGGAGUACGGCCGCAAGGUUGAAACUCAAAGGAAUUGACGG
rnacentral:rRNA from 1 species